GGUAAGCACAGCCUGGACUUUCAAAACUGCCACUAUGGCCGCCAUGUCCAGGUUGCUCAUGAAGGCCGGUGUUCCUCCCCAUUGCUUUAUACCACACCAAGGCCUGUCAUUACCACGACCCCUAGAGAUAAAUGCAAAUAUAAACUCUGUACUCCUGGGGCACCACAAUACUGUGGAUCUAAUGGCAUUACUUAUAAAUGUAAAGAAAACUUGGAGUACUGGAAUUGCAUGGGUCAUAAUGUAAAAAUUGCUUAUCCUGGGAAAUGUUAUCAAAGAACUACUACACCAAGGCCCAGUGCUGUGUUAAACCCAUGCACAGCCUCAUGCUCCUCCACCCCUCGCAUUUACUGUGACCACCAUGGCUUUGAAUAUACUGAUCAGUGUGACUUCUAUCAUACUGCCUGUUUGUUCUCAAGAAUUGGUAAAUCCCUCAUACAGUCACCAUGUCCCACUGGCAAUGUAACUCCUGACGGUACUGGGUUGGGCUUAAGUGUCAUUGGGGCCAUCAUUGGAUAGGAAUAGAGCAAAACUUCGUCUGUUUUCACAUGUACUCAAUGCUAAUAGCAAUAGCUAUCAGCAACCAUUUAAUUGUGGUUUGACAUAGACAAAACUUUUAAACCAUUUCUUUAAAAGUGAGAUCAAUAAAGUAUACUAACUAGUUGAUGUAUUUGUAAUUCAUUGCAUUUUUGGGCUAAAUUUUUUCCUCAUUGCUGUGCUGCAAUUGUGGAGGGGGGAAGGGGGAAGUAAUCUGAACACACAGAUUGGAGCAUUGAUGGGCUU